AUCAACGUCUCUCAAUUCACUCCCAAACACAUUUAUAAUACAUUUCUCAACCACCUGAAGCACUUCUAACAACAACAACACCAUCCUUUAUAAAGACAUUUCCAAUAUCAGAUCACAUUGGCAUAACUGAAGAUACAUUCUCAUUAUUUAUCAGCUUUUAAAGACCAAAAUAUUGUACAGAGCAGAUGUAUAAGAUUGUUUCUGAAAAUGUGUCGUAGAAUUCCACUUGAAAUGUGUUCUUAGCAAACUUUCUGGACUUCACUGGCUGGAGUGUCUACAAGAUGAGUCUGUGAGGAAAAUAAAAUUGGAUAAGUUUACUAGAGAGUAUUCAGACGAAAGUAACACUGGACAGAAAUACAGCAGUUGAAAUAUUUGUAAACAAAACAGUGUAGAAGCAAAGAGAAGGAAAAAAUAUAUCUAUUGUAAUUUUGAAAGAAAAAAUAUGGAGAAGAGUGAGAAAGCAAAGGAUUUGACUUUUCUAGAAGACAAAGUGAAGAAGAGACGUAUAUUGUCACACGAACUUGAUGUCUGUAAAAAGGCCUUCUCUGAAAAGGGUAACUUGAAUAAGCACAAACGUAUUCAUACAGGAGAGAAGGCAUUUCACUGUGACAUCUGUGGUAGAUCAUUCUCU